rnacentral:tmRNA from 1 species
GGGGCUGAACUGGUAUCGACUCUGAUCGGACCGGGAUAGGAGAAGCGAGCCGAGGACUCCGAGUUUGCCUCGUAAAACACCUCGGAAACUUAUAACUGCCGCUGCGUAAAGCACGGUUGCCAUCCCUUAAAUGAUGGCCGUCGGCCCCAAGCUCGCCUGUGGUUUGGGGAUCCGGCGUCGCUUAGCAGGCUUGCCGUCCGUAGCACGCUCGAGGCGAAGGACGGGACUCUUAACUUGAGCUAGAUUCCGGCCGUUGCCGUCUGCGGGCCGGCCGGCGUCGAAACCUAACCGCGGACUACGCUCGUAGAAGACCUAUCGCGGGGUCGGAGGACCCGGGUUCGAUUCCCGGCAGCUCCACUU